ACAGCGUGAGUCGAGGUCUGAUUAAAGGGCGCAAGGCAUUGACUGCGCCUUCCUGGGAGGAAUAACAGGAUGAGGCUGAGGAAACAAGAAAGUCUGAGCGAAAACAAGACGCACGGAAGAAAAUUGAAGGCAGAAAUUCAAACCGCGGCGAGUUGCUGGUAUCGUCAUCUGUGGGACUGAUUCCAAGUUCUUCAUCUCCUCCGCAGUCUUAAACCGUAAUCCUCUGCGGCAGAUCCCCAUGUUGCCUGAUCGCGCCCCCCCCCCCCGAUGUGCAGGCAAACUCCUGCGUACGGCGGACGGACUCCAGCGCUUUUAUGCAGAUCCACCCCACCUCGGAAGAAAACGGAGCAAAAGCCUGGAGAACUGGGUAAAUGGCUGACCUCUCACCUGUGCGCAACGGAGAAGGAAGCCGGCGGCUUAAUCCAGGCAGGUGUCUGACAAGCGGUCGAACACAGGCAAGGCCAUAUCACAGUGACCCGCGCCCAGACCUCCCUUAUCUAUUAAUCUACACUUCUCUGUAACGGAGGGGGGGUUGAAUUAACGCCUCAACAGGGCACAGGGUUUCUGAUUAACACACUUCACCCCGAUGAAACCACUGCCUGCCCAAGUGCACCAAAAGAAGAGUUCCCAUGAGAUACACACACACACACAAAUAUGUAUAUAUAUAUAUGUACACAAUUUUUUUUUUAAAUGUUGAAAUUGUUUCCUAUACUUCUAAAUUUUGAAAUUACAAAUAUUUGCCAGACUUA